UACGAAGGGGGCUAGCGUUGUUCGGAUUUACUGGGCGUAAAGCGCACGUAGGCGGAUUGUUAAGUCAGGGGUGAAAUCCCGGAGCUCAACUCCGGAACUGCCUUUGAUACUGGCAAUCUUGAGGCUGGAAGAGGUUAGUGGAAUCCCAGUGUAGAGGUGAAAUUCGUAGAUAUUAGGAAGAACACCAGUGGCGAAGGCGGCUCACUGGCCCGGUACUGACGCUGAGGCGCGAAAGCGUGGGGAG
rnacentral:rRNA from 1 species